UACGGGAGGCGCAGUGGGGAAUAUUGCACAAUGGGCGAAAGCCUGAUGCAGCUAUGCCGCGUGUAUGAAGAAGGCCUUAGGGUUGUAAAGUACUUUCAUCGGGGAGGAAAAAACAAAACUAAUAAUUUUAUUUCUUGACGUUACCCGAAAAAGAAGCACCGGCUAACUCCGUGCCAGCAGCCGCGGUAAUACGGAGGGUGCUAGCGUUAAUCAGAAUUACUGGGCGUAAAGAGCACGUAGGUGGUUUUUUUAAAGUCAGAUGUGAAAUCCCUGGGCUUAACCUAGGAACUGCAUUUUGAAACUGAAAUACUAGAGUAUCGUAGAGGGAGGUAGAAUUCUAGGUGUAGCGGUGAAAUGCGUAGAUAUCUGGAGGAAUACCUGUGGCGAAAGCGGCCUCCUAAACGAAUACUGACACUGAGGGUGCGAAAGCGUGGGGAGCAAACAGGGAUUAGAUACC
rnacentral:rRNA from 1 species